rnacentral:misc_RNA from 1 species
GAAAUGCGAUACUUGGUGUGAAUUGCAGAAUUCAGUGAAUCAUCGAAUCUUUGAACGCACCUUGCGCUCCUUGGUAUUCCUCGGAGCAUGCCUGUUUGAGUAUCAUGAAACUCUCAAAGAAAAUCUUUUGUUAAUUCGAUUGGUUUUGCUUUGGACUUGGAGGUUUUUUUGCAGAUUAAUUUCUGCUCCUCUUAAAUAUAUUAGCUGGAUCUCAGUAUAUGCUCGGUUCCACUCGGCGUGAUAAGUAAUCACUCGCUGAGGACACUUUGUAAAAAAAGGUGGCCGGGAAAUACAGAUGAACCGCUUCGAACAGUCCAUUCACUUGGACAAUAUAAGUUUUAAGAUCUGAUCUCAAAUCAGGUAGGACUACCCGCUGAACUUAA